rnacentral:lncRNA from 1 species
GGUUCGAUUUUUGCACAAUCCUAAUUAAAAUACAAUAAUUAACUUAUUGUGGAACGAAAGAAAUACUAUUCUCCAUCUAUCUAUGCAUGUGGAGGAGGAUAGUAGGUACUACUUGAUAGAAUUAAUCGAGAUACGAGCAACUAUCAAUAAAAUUCUCUAGAAGGGCAACCCAAAAAUGGAGAAAUAAAUAUGGUCAGAUGAAAAGUGGGGGUCAACAGUGAGUUAAAUUCAUGCAAACCAAGAAAGCAGUAAUGAAAGUAUUGUCUAAAAAUAAGUAGAAACAAUUCGCCAGAAAACAGUAAGGAAUUCACUUUUUCUGUGUGUGAAAUUGCGAAUAUGUGCAAAUAUUUAAUCAUAAUACUAAAAUGUAGACCAGUCAUCAUCAAAUGACAAAUAUAUUGACAGAAAUAACCCCAACAUAGUCACUGCACUGAGUAUGUCAUUGUCAACAAAAAUAGCAUACUGCCUUGUCAAAAAUUUAUGACAUACUUCAACUGUCCCAAAAGAAUUCUCAUAUUUUACUUUAAAAUUUAUAUAAGAAAUAUUGUAAAUUAUAAUUUUCUCUUAUCAAUGUAUCAACAAAAUACUCCAUCCUAAUUAAGUAUUAAUCAAGUUUUUAUAUAGUAGGACUCCUUAAAAAAAAAAAGUGACAACUAAAGUCGUUUUAAGAUGAAAUAAGAGAUAAUAUAAAUGAGACUAUUUUAUUACUUGAUUUUAAUAUAAAUAAUGAGAUAAAAUAAUCUCAAAUUAAUAUAUCAUACAAACAUAAAAGACGGAAUAUAUAUAUGGGCCCUGAACUAUUUUACUUUUU